GUUUUAAUAAUUUAAAUAAAAUUUUAAUUUUGUAAAUUAAAUAUAAGAUAAAACUUUUAAAACU
rnacentral:tRNA from 1 species